AGUUUAAUGAGUCACGAACAGCAUUAAAAUGAAAUAGAAUCAAGGGAAAAAAGCAUCUUUGUGGUAAGGGCAGUUUUUUUUUUUUUUUUUUUUUUGGUGUCAAAUUUUUGUUUCAGGUCUAUCUGAAUGAUGAUGUAAGAAGACCACUGUUCUAGAUUUUAAGAACAAAAGCUUUGCUGCCUUGAACCCCCAAAUAAUUGCUCAAAUUCAAACUGGUUGUUAGCUUUUUUAAAAGCUCAGCUGAUUCCGCAGGAUGUUGUGGCUGUGAACUGGGAAGCCUGCCAUGCUAUUAUUUUGAAAAGUGCUGUGCAAACAGUGUUCCUCUCAGAUGGUUUCCAGAGUUAGUUCCUUACAAGCAUUUCCUCUUGAAACAUCGGGAAUCUAAAUAAAGGAGAAAGGUGUCUAAUGGUCUAGUCUACCAACUUCACUAUGCUGAUUUAUGAAAGAAUUGCUGAAACCCAGUGAAUAAUAGCAUUUGCCCUUCUUUCUCAAAAAAGCAGCAUUUGCUUUCUUCUGGCAAGGAAUAAUUAAGCUAAUUUCUCCAUGAACCUUGGAAAAAGUGGCAACGAAUAAUGGAUUUGUCCCUCAAAGAACAUUUCAAGCAAACAUCUUAUCAGCUACAAAUUCAUUUGAGGCAGUUCCAGGUCAGCCACAGGCAAUUUUUCUCAUUAAAAUACUGUUUAAACUGUUGUAUCCAGAUGACACAGGAGACAUAUCAGACAAACAACACCUGCAAGAAGAAUUGGUGAAGUAUUGACUUUUCAUCAAUCAAAAAGUUUACUAAGCAGAUGAAAAUAAUUUGCCUUCACAGUGACAUUUUCCUGACGUCUUGCUAGUACUUAAAGGCAUUGUUUUUUCUUUAACACCCAAACUUUAAUUACCAGAAAAGGUUAGCAUCAAAACAAAGGACAUGUUGGUAAUUUAGAGGGCACUCCUUGAUGAAAUAAGUAAGAAAGCUUGUCAAGAGCCAUCACUCUUGCUCAUGGGACAAGAGAAGGCACUGACCUGUGCCCACCAGCACCCCAUCACUGAGCCAACACCACCUUCAGGAAGACAGUCUCCAGCAGGGCUUCCCCCAAUUCCCCUAGCUGCUUUGCCUCUGCUACUCCGGUAAGCACCUGCAGGGAGGCAGGCACCCCAGCACCCACUAGCAUUCUGCAACAGCUGUUGCACCUUGGCUCCCCCAGUACAGUGGAUUCCAAACCUCAAGGAGUCAAAGAACAGAUGGGGCCCAAUACAAAUUCCCCAGAAUUACAACAUGCCGUCCAGGAGUUGAGAGCUGAGUGUUGACCUUCUAAAAUCUCCCAGAAACAAAGCCAGGUGGCUGAAUCCACCUUAUAUUAUAGUCAAACCCUCAAGGUCAUCAAAUCAUCAAAUAGGAUAAAAGAAAAAAAAAUCCAAAGGUCAGCAACAUCCAAG
rnacentral:lncRNA from 10 species